rnacentral:lncRNA from 1 species
GUGGAGGAGAUAAACGUGGGUAAGGUCCCGCGGCUGAAGCUGCCCUGCGCACCAGUCAGAAUGCGCCUGAGAAAUCCUGGGAAUUAGAAAAAAGCGGAGGAAACGAGAAGCGAGCAGGCAUCCGUGCGUUCUCAAAAAUAAAACUGGGUGGUCGUUUAUUAUCUGUCUGUGUGCCGUGGAGCCUCGGCUCAGUCCCCAGACACGUAAGUCAACGUCGCUCCGCCCCGCCAUCCCUUCCUCAGCUCCGGAGGGUCCCUUUGCCCCGGGCAGCUGAACUCAGGAAAUGCCAGCGGCGGGAGCCCCUUGGUCACCUGGGCGGAGAGCAGUUAUGAAGAAGCACUUCUGACUGGCGACUUUGGGUUAUCUACGCUGCAGCUGUCCAGGCGCCUUCCAGGUCUCUCUUGAGAACAGUACUCCUGAGCGGUGAGCCAGAGAGGUCAAGCCAUUCGCCCACCUGGGGAGCAGAGAACCCUUCCUCACUCAGCUGUGGGUACAUUUCUUGGGAAGAUUUUUCAGUCUUUUCCUAUGUCAGGAGAGGAUUCAGGACGACGGCAGAAGAGCUCAGGAUGAAGCCGAAAGGCAGGGGAAACACCAGCUUAUUGCUCUCCUUCACUGCAUUCUGCCUGAUAGCCCUGCCUGGGGGCAGGGCCUGUCCUCGCCGCUGUGCCUGUUACGUGCCUACAGAGGUGCACUGCACGUUUCGGUACCUCACCUCCAUCCCAGAGAGCAUCCCACCCAACGUGGAACGUAUCAAUUUAGGGUACAACAGCUUGGUUAGAUUAACAGAAGCAGAUUUUUCUGGCCUGAACAAGUUGGAGUUACUAAUGCUACACAGCAAUGGCAUUCACACAAUCCCUGCUAAGACCUUCUCAGAUUUGCAAGCCUUGCAGGUCUUAAAAAUGAGCUAUAACAAAGUUCGAAAACUUCAGAAGGACACUUUUUAUGGCCUCAGGAGCUUGACACGGUUGCAUAUGGACCACAACAACAUUGAGUUUAUAAACCCAGAGGUUUUUUAUGGACUCACCUCCCUCCGACUGGUGCACUUGGAAGGGAACCACCUCACUAAGCUUCAUCCAGAUACAUUUGUCUCCUUGCGCUACCUCCGGAUAUUUAAAACAUCUUUCAUUAAGUACCUAUACUUGUCUGAUAACUUUCUGAGCUCCAUCCCUCAAGAGAUGGUCACCUACAUGUCUGAUCUGGAAAGCCUUUAUCUUCAUGGGAAUCCUUGGAUCUGCGACUGUCAACUGAAAUGGCUGUCUGACUGGUUACGGGAGAAGCCAGAUAUCAUAAAAUGCAAAAAGGACAGAAGUCCCUCCAGUCCUCAGCAGUGUCCGCUUUGCAUGAACCCCAGGACCUCUAAAGGCAAGCCCUUAGUUAUGGUCCCAGCUGCAGCUUUCCUGUGUGCCAAACCCACCAUUGACCCCUCUCUGAAGCUGAAGAACCUGACUGUUCUGGAAGACAGUGGUUCUAUGUCGAUCUCUCCCCAAGAGUUCAUGGCUCCCUUCGGCUCUCUGACUUUGAAUAUAACAGACCAGACUGGAAAUGAAGCUAACAUGAUCUGCAGUAUCCAAAAGCCAGCAAUGACCUCAUCCAUUGCAUUCACUGCAGAAAAUGACAUCAUGCUAAAUGCUUCGUUUUCAACAUUCCUGGUGUGUGACAUAGAUUACAGCCACAUUCAGCCAGUGUGGCAGGUUCUGGCUUUGUACAGUGACUCUCCUCUGAUCCUAGAAAGGAGUCACUUGUUCACUGAAACCUCACAACUCUGCUACAAAUAUAAACAGGUGGUACUGAAGCCUGAAGACAUCUUUACCAACAUUGAGGCUGGUCUCAGAGCAGAUCCCCCGUGGUUAAUGCAAGACCGAAUUUCCUUGCAACUAAACAGAACUGCCACCACCCUCAGUACACUGCAGAUCCAGUACUCCAGUGAUGUCCAAGUCACUUUACCAAGGUCAGAGAUAAAGCCAGAGACACACAGAUGGACCAUGAUUUCCAAAGAUAACAGUACUAAGCUGGAACGCACUGUUUUGGUUGGUGGGACCGUUGACCUAGACUGCCCUGGCCAAGGAGAGCCUCCCCCCAAUCUGGAGUGGCUUCUAGCUGAUGGAAGUAAAGUGAGAGCCCCUUAUGUGAGUGAGGACGGACGAAUCCUGAUAGGCAAAAGUGGAAAACUGGGACUCCAGAUGGCUGAUAGUUCUGACACUGGCCUAUACCACUGCAUAAGCACUAACGACGAUGAUGCAGAUAUCCUCACAUACAGGAUUACCGUGGUAGAGCCCAAUGUAGAAGCCUAUCGGGAAAAUGGAGCUCGUCAUAUAGCUUCUGUUGGUGAAACACUUGACCUUCCUUGCCAUUCUACCGGUAUCCCAGAUGCCUCUGUUAGCUGGGUUCUCCCAGGAAACACUGUGCUUCAACAGUCCUCAAGAGAUAAGCAAAUUCUUAACAAUGGCACAUUAAGACUAUUACAGGUCGCUCAAAAAGACCAGGGUCACUAUCACUGUGUAGCAGCCAACCCAGCAGGGGUCGAUAUUUUAGUUAACCAAGUUUUAGUCAAAAUAAAAGGGCAAAAGUCAGCAGAGCAUAAUGUAGAAACAGAUGGAUCAGGGUUUGAUGAGCCCAAUUCCAUGGGUCAGCUUCAGGAUCCACCAGCUACACAUCUCCCCACAUCUCCUGCCGUGGGGGCUGAGGCUGGAACACAUGUCUUGAGCCCAAGUAAGAAUCCCAAACAGCGGGUAUUAAUAUCCCAAAGGCGUGGAGAGUCAACCAGCUGGCGUUACAGGGAGCACAGGAGGCAAUUCCCUCCCUCUGCCCGGAGAAUUGACCCACAGCACUGGGCAGCACUUUUGGAGAAAGCUAAAAAGAAUGUUAUGCCAGAAAAGCAAGAAAAUACCACAGGAAAGCCGCCUCCACCAGUCACCCAACUCCUGGAUAUACCUGGUGAGGAAGCAGACUCAUCAGGCAUGCUCCCUCCAGAUGAGCAACUUACGGUCCCAACAACUAAAGCUGCAGACGUUCUGACAAGGACAGUGACUGCAGAUUCCAGAAAAUCACCUGACAGCCCUGUGACAAGUAAAACUGAUGGCACCCCAGUCUCCCCAAUUGUGAGUCCACAGACCCUAUCACCUGAAAAACCAAGAGAUUUCAGACCAUCUGCUACUAUUAAAACUCAAGUCACGCCAAAGAAUAUAAACCCAACUGCAUCAAGUGAAAUGGAAGACACAACCAACCCAAAUUUACCUAAUGUGUUUCCUCUACUAACUGAAGCAACUCUGUUUCAGGAUGCUGACAACAUGGAGAGUAAAAAAGAGCCCUUGCAAACUGCAUCCCCAGUAACAGUGGGGGCUACUGCGAUCAAAGAUACCCAUAUCCAAACGCUGAGUAAUGCUGUGGGCAAAGCUGGUAUAUUUUUAGGGUCAGUAAAUGCCACAGAUAGUUAUCAGAGAUCUGUAACAGGAGUUGGUGAACCCAGGAGCCAUCACUCUCCUUCUCAAAGUACUCACAAACCUAGCCCCACUAAGCUCCGUUCAGGCCCACACACUGCUGCUCCUUCUCAGUUACACAUUCCUAGAAAGAGUACAAUGAACAGUCCGCUGUCCAGGCGCUUUGGAAGAUGGCGAAAAGUUUGGAGCAGGGGGCGAAUUAUCAGCCCAUAUAGGACACCAGUUCUCCGACAGCACAGAUUCAGCGUUGUAAGGCCCACAUUCAGAGGCUCUUCAGAAGAAAGCACCACUGCAUUUCCAGCCCCAGAGCUCAGUGCAGUGUGCCCAUCCUGUUCUCCCAGAGAAAGGCUCACCACUGAUGAGGCAGCGUUGUCUUCUCCAAGCUUAUCCCCCAUCACCCUCCCCAAAACUGAAAUUGCCAGCGUCACAGUAGAAGAACCUACAACUCUAGUUCACAACUCAUCAUUACUGCUUGAGGACAAACCGAAUGCAGAUGCUGAGAAGGCCACCCCUAUGAUAAGAUACUUCAGUGCUGAAAGUGCCCAAGUGACUCCAGCUACUGCAGUUACGACUCACGCAACAAAUAUUAGUUAUCCAAGUGGGUCUAAAGCCAGUGAAACCACCAGAUACUCUGUGAUCGUAUCCCCACUGCCAGGUCCCACCAUCAAGUCACCUGUGCCUACCACUCUAGCUAUUAGCAGAUUUUCAAGAAGGAAAAUCCCCUGGCAUCAGAUCUUUGUAAAUAACCACAUCCAAAGAGAAAAGCUAAAGAAUCAGCAAAAAUUUGGUUCACAAAGCAGCACAGACACAGUGCUUCCUAAAAUAUCUCCUGCUUUGCCCACAGAUAAAGUUUCUCCCUUCCAUUUCAAAACACUCUCAGCUAGUGUAAUGAAAAUCCCAUCCAUAACACCAGCCACAACUCACCUGAAUAACACACACAGCCUUGUAAGUCUCCCAACAAUGAAGGAGCUGCCCUCCCUACCCAUUUACCCUACGCCUCCUAGUAGCUCAAGCAAAGAAUCAAGUGCAGAUUCCGUAUCAAGGCAAACAGACAUGCUGACGACCACGCCUACUGCCCCUGCAUCUAUCAUUAUCAACAAAGCCCAGAUAGACAGACCCAGGGCACGAAAAGUACAAAGGAAAAAGGAGCCUCAGAAGACAAUGAGGGACCCAAAUACCUCUCCCACCCAGACUUCUGGCUUCAUUACAUCCACCACUGUGACAUCUCCUGUUCCAACAGCAGCUGAAACUUCAACCAAGCCCAGUGUGUCUGCUUUCACUCAUUCUCCUCUAGAGAACACAAAAGAAAUUUCAAGCACAGUUGGUCUUCAUCCAGGAGCCUUUAAUCUGACAGCUGUACUUGGACAACCAUCCCAGGAGGGUACUCAGGCUUUGAAGAAUAUAACUGCUUCUGAAACCACUUUGUCCAGCAAACUACAGAGUACCCCUACUAGGAACACAAUCAGACACUCAACCAUGCCAAUCUUCCUAAGCUCCAGUGCCACUCCAAUGCCAAUUCCCACCUCCCCUCCCUUGAGUAAUCAAAGUGAGGUUACUGACAAUGUGGCCAUGCCCACUUUCAGGAUGAUGACAAGUACAAUGGUUGAGGCACAUGAAUCCCCAAAGCACAAUGCUACUCCACAGCAACUGGCAGUAGCAUCUCCCCAAACUCACCCAAAUGCCAAAUUUGCAGUUGGAACCAUUCACUUUACCUACUCUAAUCUGUUACCUUCUACUCCUAUGCCAGCACUAAUAACAGUUAAACCACAGGAUGCUAAGCAUACUCACUCUCCCUGGUCAGAAAACCACUUUUGGCACAAGUCACACCCAGAAAUUGCUGAAAAAGGCCAAAAGCCAGUAGUAGUGAGUGUACUGCCCACUCCAGGCCUGCCAGAGGUCACCACUCAUGCUUCAAACUGGGAUAUACAGAAGAAUGCAAAGAAAAGUGGCUUUGAUAAAACAGCAGUUCAAAAAAUAACAACUUCCGAAUUCCUCCCCUUUGAUGCUUUAUCUAGGGAUGUAUUUGAAAGGCCCAGAAUAAUCGGAGGAAAAGCAGCAAGUUUUACUGUUCCAGCUAACUCAGAUGCCUUUCUUCCUUGUGAGGCUGCUGGAAAUCCCGUGCCCACUAUCCACUGGACCAGAGUCUCGUCAGGACUUGAUUUAUCUAAGAGGAAACUGAAUAGCAGGUUCCAGGUGCUCUCCAAUGGCACCCUGUCCAUACAGAGGGUGGACAUUCAGGACCGUGGACAGUACCUGUGCUCGGCAUCCAAUCCAUUCGGCACAGACCACCUUCAUGUCACCUUGUCCGUGGUUUCCUAUCCCCCCCGGAUCAUGGAGAGACAUACUAAGGAGAUCACAGUCCAUUCUGGAAGCACAGUCAAGUUGAAGUGCAGAGCUGAUGGGAGGCCCAGCCCUACAAUUUCCUGGAUUCUUGCAAACCAGACGGUGAUCUCUGAAUCAUCUGAGGGGAAGAGACAGGCCCUAGUGACAUCUGACGGAACACUGGUCAUCCACAAUCUCAGCAUUUAUGACCGAGGCUUUUAUAAAUGUGUGGCCAGCAACUCAGUGGGCCAGGAUGCACUGCUGGUUAAAAUACAAGUCAUCGCGGCCCCACCUGUUAUUCUAGAGCAAAAGAAGCAAGUUAUUGCAGGGACUUGGGGUGAAAGUUUGAAACUGCCCUGUACUGCAAAAGGCAAUCCUCAGCCCAGUGUUCACUGGGUCCUCUCAGAUGGCACUGAAGUGAAACCAUUACAAUCCGUCAACUCUAAGUUCUUAUUUUCAAAUGGAACUCUGUUUAUAAGAAAUGUAGCCUCUUCAGACAGGGGCACUUACGAAUGCAUUGCUACCAGCUCCACUGGCUCAGAGAGAAGGGUGGUAAUCAUCACAGUGGAUGAACAAGAGACCAUCCCCAGGAUAGAAUCUGCAUCCCAGAAAUGGACUGAGGUGAAUCUGGGGGACAAACUACUGCUGAACUGCUCAGCCACUGGGGAGCCGAAACCGAAAAUCAUCUGGAGGCUACCAUCCAAGGCUGUCGUCGACCAGUGGCACAGAAUGGGCAGCCGAAUCCAUGUCUACCCAAAUGGAUCCUUGUUUGUUGGGUCAGUAACAGAAAAAGACGGCGGGGACUACUUGUGUGUGGCAAGAAACAAAAUGGGCGACGACCUGACCCUGAUGCACGUAAGCCUAAGAUGGAAACCGGCCAAAAUUGACCACAAGCACCACUUUAAAAAGCAAGUGUUUCACGGGAAAGACUUUCAGGUCGAUUGCAAGGCUUCUGGCUCACCAGUGCCCGAGAUAUCCUGGAGUUUGCCUGACGGGACGAUGAUAAACAGCGCCAUGCAGGCCGAUGACAGUGGCCACAGAACCAGAAGGCUCACCCUCUUCCACAACGGAACUUUAUACUUCAACAAAGUUGGGAUGGCAGAGGAAGGAAAUUACACCUGCUAUGCCCAGAACACCCUAGGGAAGGAUGAAAUGCAAGUCCACCUAACAGUCAUAACAGCCGCCCCACGGAUCCAGCAGAGUUACAAGACCAACACGAGAAUCACAGCAGGAGACACAGCUGUCCUUGACUGUGAGGUUGUUGGAGAACCCAAGCCAAAAAUAUUUUGGCUGCUGCCUUCCAAUGACAUGAUUUCAUUCUCUAAGGACAGGUAUACAUUCCAUAACAAUGGGUCUUUGUCCAUCAAUGAAGUGAGACUGCUCGAUUCUGGACAGUAUGUAUGUGUGGCCCGGAAUCCCAGCGGGGAUGACACCAAAGCGUACAAGCUGGAUGUUGUCUCUAAGCCUCCAUUAAUCAAUGGUCUGUAUGUAAACAAAACUGUCAUUAAAGCCACAGCUGUGAGACAUUCCAAAAGACACUUUGACUGCAGAGCAGAAGGGACACCGUCUCCUCAAAUCAUGUGGAUCAUGCCCGAGAAUAUUUUCCUCACGGCUCCAUACUAUGGGAGCAGAAUCACUGUCCACAAAAAUGGAACCCUGGAAAUCAGGAAUGUGAGGCUUUCAGACUCCGCUGAUUUCAUCUGCGUAGCUCGGAAUGAAGGAGGAGAGAGUGUGCUAGUGAUACAGUUAGAGGUGGUGGAAAUGCUGAGAAGGCCGACGUUCAGAAAUCCAUUUAAUGAAAAAAUAGUUGCCCAGCUUGGAAAGUCCACAGCACUGAAUUGCUCUGUUGAUGGAAACCCACCACCUGAAAUAAUCUGGAUUUUACCAAAUGGCACACAGUUUCCCAGUGGACCACACAGUUCUCAGUAUCUAAUAGCAAGUAACGGUUCUUUUAUCAUUUAUAAAACAACACGGGAUGAUGCAGGAAAAUAUCGGUGUGGGGCAAGAAAUAAAGUUGGUUACAUUGAGAAAUUAAUUGUAUUAGAAAUUGGCCGAAAGCCAGUGAUUCUAACUUAUGAACCAGGGACAGUUUACAGUUUCAGUGGAGACACUGUAUUGCUGCACUGCGUCUCUCUUGGAAGCCCUAAGCCACAUAUCAAAUGGACUUUGCCAAGUGGCUACAUAAUAGAUAGGCCUCAAAUUAAUGGAAAAUACAUACUGCAUGAAAAUGGCACCUUAGUCAUCAAAGAAGCAACAGCUUAUGACAGAGGAAACUACAUCUGUAAGGCUCAAAAUAGUAUUGGUCACGCACUGAUUACUGUUCCAGUAGUGGUUGUAGCCUACCCGCCCCGGAUUACCAAUCGCCUACCCAGGAGUGUCCUCACGAGGACAGGCGUGGCCAUUCAGCUCCACUGUAAGGCCCUGGGAAUCCCCAAGCCAGAAAUCACAUGGGAGAUGCCUGACCACUCCCUGUUCUCAGCGGUAAACAAAGGGAGGACACGUAGAAUUCGGCCUUUUCACCCACAAGGUACCCUAGUCAUCCGGAAUCCGCAAACCUCGGAUUCUGGGAUAUACAAAUGCACAGCAAAGAAUUCACUUGGAAGCGAUUAUGCAACAACUUACAUUCAAGUAAUCUAA